rnacentral:rRNA from 1 species
UACGGGGGAGCAAGCGUUGUUCGGAUUUACUGGGCGUAAAGGGCGCGUAGGCGGUCAGCACAAGUCAGUUGUGAAAUCUCCGGGCUUAACUCGGAAAGGUCAACUGAUACUGUGCGACUAGAGUGCAGAAGGGGCAACUGGAAUUCUCGGUGUAGCGGUGAAAUGCGUAGAUAUCGAGAGGAACACCUGCGGCGAAGGCGGGUUGCUGGGCUGACACGUGACGCUGAGGCGCGAAAGCCAGGGGAGCGAACGGG